AAUAGAUACCCGGGUAGUCCAUGCCGUAAACGUUGGGCGCUAGGUGUGGGAUCCAUUCCACGGGUUCCGUGCCGCAGCUAACGCAUUAAGCGCCCCGCCUGGGGAGUACGGCCGCAAGGCUAAAACUCAAAGGAAUUGACGGGGGGCCCGCACAAGCGGCGGAGCAUGCUGAUUAAUUCGAUGCAACGCGAAGAACCUUACCUGGGUUUGACAUACACCAGAAGCCUGCAGAAAUGUGGGUCUCUUUGGACACUGGUGUACAGGUGGUGCAUGGCUGUCGUCAGCUCGUGUCGUGAGAUGUUGGGUUAAGUCCCGCAACGAGCGCAACCCUUGUCCUAUGUUGCCAGCACGUAGUGGUGGGGACUCAUGGGAGACUGCCGGGGUCAACUCGGAGGAAGGUAGGGAUGACGUCAAGUCAUCAUGCCCCUUAUGUCCAGGGCUUCAAGCAUGCUACAAUGGCCGGUACAAAGGGCUGCGAAACUGCAAGGUGGAGCGAAUCCCAAAAAGCCGGUCUCAGUUCGGAUUGGGGUCG
rnacentral:rRNA from 1 species